UACAGAGGUCCCAAGCGUUGUUCGGAUUCACUGGGCGUAAAGGGUGCGUAGGUGGUGAGGUAAGUCGGAUGUGAAAUCUCGGAGCUUAACUCCGAAAUGGCAUUGGAAACUACCUUGCUCGAGGGUUGGAGGGGGGACUGGAAUACUUGGUGUAGCAGUGAAAUGCGUAGAUAUCAAGUGGAACACCAGUGGCGAAGGCGAGUCCCUGGACAACUCCUGACACUGAGGCACGAAAGCUAGGGGAGCAAACAGG
rnacentral:rRNA from 1 species